CUUUGAAACUCAUCAAAUUUGCUACUCAAUGCAUUUUGAUGCGAAAAUUUUGCCCCGGUACUUAUCGUUUGUUUGGUACUCGAUGCACAAGCUAGAACGUGUCAGUUGCUUUAUGACUUG